UGUACGCUCUCUCUGUCUCUUUCUAAAAAUAAAAAAAUAAAAUGGAAAUCUUUGGAUCUAUUGAUUCUAGUUACCAAGCUCUGAAUUACUUUAUUCUCUCAGAAUUUAAAAUGUGCUUACUUUUACAAAUAAGUUUCUUUUUAAAUUUUUGCUAAAACAUUAGAAGCUCAAUCAGUCAUCGCUAUUAACCAGAGCUGAAAGCAGCUAUUCCUCAAAGCAUGUUCUCCAAAUACUUCUAGUCAAUAAUCAAGUCAUUUUUAAGUAAAGUCUCAGCUAAGAAAAAGUAAGAAUUAGAAUUAUUUAGUAUCAUCUUAUAGCCCUAUUCUGACCUACACUUAAUGUUUUAGAUUAUCACUUAUUUUAUAAUAUAUUAUCACAAGCUACCUUUAUUCAUUUUUGUCAGUAACUUAAAUCUAAGACUUCAGCACUAACCUGUUGAGUUGCAGAGACACAGACAGAGAUGUCACCUAGUUUCCUUGAAACUGAGUCAGGGGCUCUUCAGUUGGCCUUACCUUGUGAGGUCACUGUGGCCCGAAGAUCUUAGGUUUCUUCAUUUAACCUUAAGUACAUUUCUCCUUUUCACAUAAAUUCUUAAUUUAAUCAUUUUAUAUGUUUUCAAAAUUAUAGAUAUAAAGUUGGCAAUAUCCUAUUUGUUCAAUUCUAAAAAAGCUGUAAUUAUGUCACUUUUUUUCAUUCCAGCGGCGUUUGCUUAUGUCAUCCAUCUUUUAUUCUUGUUAAUCUUGCCAGAAGCAUGUCGAUUUUAUAAGGCUUUAGUAACCAACUUUUGGCUUUGUUGAUCUCCACUGCAUGUUUAUUUCCACAUUUUUAAAAUGAAAUGCGUUGCUCUGUGAAGUGGCCCUGGGUAAAGGUCCAAUUGGGGUUAGAAGGCAACUUAUCAGGCAGGUUAUAGAGAUGAUACCGUCCUGAGUGAGAAGUUGGACCAAUGUUUUAGGCACCCUCUAAAUUUAAGAAUCUUUGUUUUUGAGAGCUGUGCUAUUUAGCAAGAAUAGUAGAUGUAGCUAGCUCCAAAUGAUAACUUCUUUCAUAAAAGCAUUCCUUUCAAAUAUGAAGUAAGGAAACAUGAUAAAACUAAAAGAUCUUAAAAUUCUAUAAAAGAGAUUUUAUUAAGAAUACAAACUACAACACAUGAUACCUCCCAACAAACCUUAAAGGAAAAAAAUCUCUUACCAAUGUUGUGAUAAUAAUAUGUUUGAUAUUUUUUAUAUUUACUUUUAAAUGGUAAAGAACUCUAUAUAUUUUAAAGAUAUAAUUAAUUCUUGUGACAUGCUUGUAAGGCAAAGAGAAGGCAUAUUUAAUUCUUAUUUUAAAGAUGAAUAAAAUGUGACUCAAAUUUAUUAUAGCAUUUCUCAAGGACACAAAUACUGGAUGAGUAGUACUUAAAGUCUGCAUAUUUUUAGUAAAGAACACAGUACAUUAGCUUACCUUAAUCCCAGAAAUAUUUUUAAAUUAUUUAAGGAAUAUAACAUUAUUUCCAGUUAUUUUAUUUUAUUUUAUUUUAUUUUAUUUUAUUUUAGAGAGAGUAUGAGUGAGUGGGUGGGGGAAGUGGCAGAGAAAGAGAGAGAGAGAAGCUUAAGCGGGCUCCAUGCUGCACACAGAGCCCAACACAGGGCUCAAUCUUUGACCCUGGGAUCAUGACCUGACCUGAAAUCAAGAGUCCCACACUCAACCGCCUGAACCACCCAGGUGUCCCUCCAGUUAUUUUAGCAUUAAAUUAAAGUUAUUCUAAUCACUAAUAAUUUAUCAAUAAUACUAGAAUCACUAUAAAAAUAAUAAAGUAAAAAUUGGAAUGUUGGACUGAAAUGUUCUUCAAAUUUCUCUAUAAAAAUAAUCAAUCAUGCCAAAUGGCAUUACCCAAAAGUACUAUUUUAUAAGAAAAGUACAAUAUACAGAUAUAAGUCUUUUAAAUCUUAAGACUAGGUCCCAAAAUCGGUGACCAUAUAUACUGAAAUCCUUUAAGAAAGGAUAAAUAGAUAAAUCACUUUAAAAAGUAAUAUAUCAGGGGUGCCUGGGGGGCUCAGUCAGAUGAGUGUGCAACUCUUGAUUUUGGCUCGGGUCAUGAUCCCAGAGCUUAAGAUUCUCUCUUUCCUUCUGCCCCUCUUUGCUACUCGCGUGCGCUCUCUCUCUCUCUCUCUCUCUCUCUCAAAUAAUAAAAAAGAGAGUCACCUGGGUGGCUUAGUUGGUUAAGCCUCUGACUUUGUUUCAGGUGAUGAUCUCAGGGUUUGUGAGUUCAAGCCCCGCAUUGGGCUCUGUGCUGACAGAGCCUGGAGCCUGUUUCAGUUUCUGUGUCUCCCUCUCUCCCUGCCCCUCCCCUAUUUGCACUCUCUCUCUCUCUCUCUCAAAAAUAAAUAAAUGUUAAAAAAAUUUUUAAAUAAUAAAAAAUACAUCAAAAUGCUAUUCAUUUUUGUCAUAUUAUUUUUACUAAAGCUGUCUCUAUUGUGUAAAAGCUUACAGGAGAUGAUAUUAAGUACUUAGUACUUCUGAGUUUUAGUUGCUAAAUGGGGACAGAUUGAGGAGCUAUUAAAACAACAGUUGGGUGGCAAGUGGGAGUGUUUGUGGGGUUUGGUAACUAUUUUUACAUUAUCAGUAGCAUACAUUUACUAUUUAGUAUUAUCUAUUUAGUUUUAUUUAUUCAUUUAGUUUUAUUUAUACAUUUUAGCACUGUAACAGUAUUAUAUAUUUACUAUUUACUUUUAUUUACUUAUUCAUUUACAUUUGCUAUUUAGAUAUUUAAUAAAAACAUGGUAAUGACAAUUAAUAUCCUGACCUAAACACACUAUUUGUUACUUGAUAAAUGCAUAUUGUAAUGAUCUACACCAGUAAGAAAUGUCAAGAUCCAAAUAUAGUCUCUAUAAAAAUCCUGAAACAUUCUGAUCCCCAUUUUGACUCUCAGAGAGGUAGGAUGUUGUGCCCAAAGUCCCAGAUUAAGGAGCAGAGCCAAUAUUUGAAUGUAAAUUCAAGAUGUUUUAUUUAUCAUUGGCCACUAAUUAUGUUAACAAAAUCUUGCUUAAAGCAGAGGUUAAAAGAUAAACAUCUGUCUUACAGAGAAGACCAUAAUUAUAGAAUUUAUUAAUUCUGUGAUAUUUCUAGGAUUUGGUCUUUAUCAGUGAUGGAGGAUUUCAAACCUGGCUGAGCUUGUACCUAUUAAAUCACUUGUACAUAUUAAUUUGUAUUUUGUAUUAAAAUUGUACAUAUCACUUGUACAUAUUAAAAAUAUUGAUUCCCAGUGUUCCCAACUUCUCCCUCCCUGCCCUUCCAUGUGCACAGCCCAAGUGUGAGGUACUCUCACAUCAAAAUAUGAGAACCUCUGUGUUAAACCAUAGUCAAAAAAAAUUUGUCACUGCCCCUCAUUUGUCUCCCCUGAGACAGAAGUUGGUGGAGAUGUCAAAUAACCGUGAGAUUCCUGACUGUAGACAGAAUGUCUUAAGGGUGUCAAUAUCCCCAGCGCUUAGCACAGAGUUUAGUGUGCAUAAGAUCCAUCAUACAUUUGUUAAAGUGAAAAAGUAAAGAAACAAAGAAUAAACAAAUUUCCUGCCUUCUAGCAGCUUGUUCCCCUUCGUGGGUGUGAGGAGACAUGUGCACGGAAAAGCACAGCAGCACAACAGGUGCUCAGAAAGCAAGUGCUCCAGAAGUUCUGAAAUCUGUGGAAGGCUUUGUUAAUAACGAGGCCUCAAUAGAUGUACAUUUGGAUAGAUAAAAUGCAGAUGCAAAAACAUUCCUGACUGUGGAAGCAAGCGGCUUGACCUAAUGUGUAGUAAUUGAAAUGAGUUCUCAAUCUGAGACAUAACAUGGACCCAAUCUAACGGGGGCAUUUGUGGUUAGAAAACUGAAGAAUGAAAUGUGAAAACUCAGGGAGAACUUUGAACUUAAGGAUGGGAUGUAUAUAUCAUAUAAAGGCCAGGUUUAUUUUCUAAAUGAUAAUUUUUAAAAUGUAUAACUGAGUGAAUAUUCAGGGCACAGCCUUGAGAGUUUCACAUAUACUCAAGAGAGCAAAGGGAAAUCGCUAGCUUUCCAAAGCAGGUUUUUUGGGGGAGAGUAAAAUGAUGCUGUCCUUUUUACCUGCUUAUACUAAUGCAUAGAAGUGGUUAGACAAAGUUCAGGAGUAUGUCAUUUCUGACAAAUUUUCAUUGCUAUAUAUUUCUCGGUUAAGGGUUUCUUUUUAGGACUUCAACCUUGUUUGGCAGGCAGACAAAGAAUUACUUCUAAAUGAAUGAAAAUAUCUUUGUUGACUUUAUUUUUCUCAUCUCUGAGUCCAGUCCUAAUUAAUACUGGACCCAUAAUUUUGGGUUUCAUAUAAACUUUUUGAGGAAACUCAACCACUUUAUGGCUUCACUUACCCUCUGUUUUUAGUAACUCCCAAAUCUACACCAAUAGUUAUCCCAAUUUUACAUCCCAUCAAUAAUAAUUUAAAUUAUUUAAUAUAUUGGAUAUUUAAGUUGCAAAAAUUUACAAGUUGAAAUUUGAGUUCAUCAGAUUUUCCUAAGCAGAAAGAAACUAGCAGAACAUCAUUAUCCAAAGCAAACCAAGGACAGACCCUCCUCUAAUUGUCUUGAGUUGCUUAAGUCCAUGUGUUUUGCUCUGAUGUGAGAUGGUGCAGGGGUGACUCGCUAAUUGACUAGUGAUUGGUUUCCUUCCAGGUAAAUUAAAGAAAGGUCAAUUUUCUUGCAAAUCUUAAGUUUUGAGUAUUUGAUAAGUGAAUGCAUAAAUGGGAAUGAAUGUGAUUUUCCAUUGUAUAUAAUUUUUUAGGGUUUUCUAUAUAUAGUAUCAUGUCAUCUGCAAAUAGUGAAAAAUUUACUUCCACCUUACUAAUUUGGAUGCCUUUUAUUUCCUUUUCUUAUCUGAUUGCUGUGGCUAGGAUUUCCAGUACUAUGCUCAGUAAAAGUAGUGAGAGUGGACAUCCUUAUCUUGUUCCUGGUCUUAGAGGAAAAACUCUCACUUUUUUACCUUUGAAUAUCGUGUUAGCUGUGGGUUUUCAUAUAUGAUCUUUAUUAUGUUGAGGUAUGUUUCCUCUUAACCUACUAUGUUGAGAGUUUUUAUCAUGAAUGGAUGUUGUACUUUGUCAAAUGCUUUUUCUUCAUCUAUUGAGAUGAUCAUAUGCUUUUUAUCCUCCCUCUUAUUAAUGUAAUAUAUCAUGUUGAUUGAUUUGUGAUUAUUGAACCACCUUUGAAUCCUUGGAAUAAAUUCCAUUUGAUUAUGAUGAAUGAUUUUGCUUAAUGUAUUGUUGGAUUCAGUUUGCUAAUAUUUUGUUGAAGAUUUUUGCAUCUGUCUUCAUCAGGAAUAUUGGCCUAUAAUUUUCUCUUUUUUGUAGUGUCUUUAUCUGGUUUUGGUGUCAAAACCACCCAUAAUAAUAUUGAGAGAAAUAUAUAAUAUUUCUCUCAAAAAUAAAUAAAUGUUAAGAAAAAAAAGUAAAUAAGUUCCUUAGAUGCUUGAAACUUUUAGACAUAUGUAAUAGAAAUACUGUUUUGACAUAAUACACCAAUGCAUUUUUACAUUUAGUCAUCCUCAGAUCCUGGUGAUGCCACAGCUUGCAUUUUGAACACAUGCCCAGAUCUUACACGUUAUUCCACUGAGUAAAGAAACACAGCACCUGCCAUUAAAGCUACACGAACAAGCUAAGUGUUCCUUGAAGAAAAAGGCUGUGACUACAUUGAAGUGCUAGCAGAGAGGAAAGGGAAGUAGAAAACAUCUUUGCAGCCUAGAGGAGUGAGUAAGAAAAAGUGAUAGUGGCAGAGGAAGAAGGUCAGAUCUGUGUGUCCUCAUCUCCUCUCAUCAAAGGAGAAAAUUCCAGAAAGAAGAAAGUAUUAGAAACACUCAGAUAAGUACAAGAUAGCCUGAGAACACAGAAGCAUGUGCCCUACAUCCCAAGGCCUCUAGUAAGAGCCAGCUUCCUGACAUACCGACGUGGUGCAAUGGUGAAGUGGGUUGGUGGGAUAAAUGAGCUCAACACAAUGAUCCUGCCCUCAUGCAUAUUCCUUAGCCAGAAGCUCUUAGAAGGUGUUAAGGGAACUAGGGGGCUAAUAUAUGUUGGCCCAGGGUCAGGACAAAGGGUGUUAGUGUAUGAGGAUGACUCAAAUGUAGUAAGCAUCAGUUGCAUCAUAGUGGUAACAAGUACAGGGAUCCGGCAGGUCCAGCGUGAUCCAAAAGAUAGCACCUGUGGAACUCUGGUAUCCUUUUCCUCCAUGAGUUCACAGAAACCCCUAUGUGCCCAGAGACCACAUUACAGAGAUAGGAAUCUGAAAAACUGAACAUCUACUUGAAAGAGACUGAAUCAUUUAAAAGUGAUACAUGGGGCAGCAAGAUCGCUUCCACAACCUCCUGCCAUGUCACUCACAGGGGUAGCUCACGAAGGUGAGGAUAAUACAGCCAUCCUUCCAUUAAACUUGUUCUUGACAGGGUAGAGACAGGAAUGAUCAACCACUGUUUGCUUCAGUCUUGAAAAAAAAGAAAAAAAGAGUCAGAAGUUGGUACCCAAUCCUCUGAUUCUGUGCAAAUGUUUCCAUCUUCACCUUCUUUUUUUAACUGUCUUCUUUCAACAUGAGAGUUUGGCUGACUGUAGACGGAGUGUUGUGGCUGAGAACACAAAGAUAGCUAUCUUUGAUGUCUUUGAUCAUAGAAGUUGUUUUAGUUAAGAAACAUUCCGGCAGCCGACUGCUUUUUACCAAAAAACCAAACCACAAAACCAAAAUGCCACUUUUCAUCAAGUAUAUGAAUCAUUCUUUUUUUUUCCUUUUUAUUCUAAACUCCUUCUAAAGCUGGUUAUUGCUUUCUUGUACUGCUUUUCUUCCUUUUUUUUUUUUUUUUUUUUUUUUUUUUUACAUUGUGCCUAUAAGAACUUGACUGGGACAAAUAAAGGGAGAUGAAUUCCAUUUAAUUCUAAUAACAAGGCAAAAAAAAAAAUAAGUAAAGAAAUAGAUGAUGUGUUCAACACAGUACAGAUCAUUAAGAUCUGACAUUUAUAGCCCAAUAUAACCCAAAAUUGCAUGAUAUGUUCACCAAUAUAGACCAUACAUGUAGCUAUGAAAUAAACCUCAGUAUACUUAGAGAACUAAUAUCAUUGAGAAUAUUCUUUAACUGUAAUGCAAUAAAGCUAGAAAUUAGUAAUAAGACAUUUAGAGAAAAUAAUAAAUAUUUUGAAGUUAACAAAUUCAUAAAUAGUUCAUGGGUAAAAAGAGAAAUCACAAGGGCAAUUAGAAAAUAUUUCAAACUUUAUGUUAAUGAAAAUACAUUGUAUGAGAACAUGCUUGCAGCUAAUGCAGUACUCACAGGAAAUUAAUAUUGUUACCAACCACUGCAUAACUGAGGGUGACUGGUUUUGAUCAGAUUUUUUUCAAAGGUUAACUGGCUUCUCUAAUUUAGAGAAAAAUACAGGUAAAAAUGUAAGCAAAACUUGAGAAUAUGUGUGUAAAGAGGGAUUUUUAAAGUAAAUUCUAGGGUUAAAUGUGUUGUAACAAUAAUUUGGGGUAAGUUCUCUUCAAUGUUUAAGUAUCUCUGAAAUGUUUCUGUAAGUCAGCGAAAAAAUGUAUCAUACCCUGUUGUUUGUUUUUUGUGAGCAUUUAAUGGAUUACUUCUAAUGCAUAAAGGAACAUUAAAUAAACAACAUGCAAAAAAGAAAGUCUUAUCUAUUUACACAGCACCUAGUUUAUUUUUGUUGUUUGGUACAAAUAUCUCCAUAUAGCUACUACUAUUUAUAUACUAAAUUCAUAGCACAAAUUAAAACACGGUAUUAUGCAGUAUUAAACAGACACAAAAUGGAAAUUCAUUGGUUUAGAUACCAGAUUGAAUCGAAGGAGAGGUAGAUGGAUUUUUCUGAGUUUAAUAAUUAGUAAAUACUGGUAAUUUUUGUAAAUAUACAAAGCUUUCAGGGCCUUCAGAAUGCCUAAAGUAUUUCUCUUUGUGCUUUCUAGUAUUUGAGUUCAUAGAUUAUUAGUGGGUAAGUAUCAUCUGUUAAGAAGAGAGGUGAUUUGAACUUGUGCACAGGGCUUAUUAUGUAACUUCAUUAGCUAAAAAUAAUUAUAAUGUCCUUUUGCAAUAUUUAAUAUUGGUAUUGUACCCCUCCUAUAAGCCCAGAUCAAAAUUAUACCUCCAUCAGAUAGCCUUCCUUAAAAAAUCUUCCCCAUCAGAUGAGCUCUUGCCUUUUUGUUAGCUGGAUAAUCUCUUGGUUAAUUAUGUCUGGUAUUGUCUUUAUCUGUACUUCCGUGAUUCCUUUUUGAUAUAUACAAACCCUUGAUGUCAGGCACUCAAAAUACCUAUGAGAGUAAUUUGUACAUAGUAGAUAUUAACAACAUUUGGGAAUGAGUGAAAAACAAAUAUAAAAAUAGCAAUUACUAAAAUAUGCUAACUUUUUCCUAUUCUUACCAACCUUAAGGAGAAGUUGUGGCUGCAGUGUCCCAUGAAACCAGCUAUCCCCAUGACUCCUAGAUACUAGCUUGAGAAAGACUAGAAUUUAACUAAUGUAUAAUACAAUACAGCUCUUAGCAAACUACAAGCUAAGAAUGAUUGUAUAUUUUGUAAUGGUUGGAAAAGACCAAAAGAAAAGUAAUGUGAGAUGUGAAAAUUACAUGAAAUUAAAAUUGUAGUGUUCAUAAAGAUUUUUUUGGAACACUGCUACACUAAUUUGUUUGCAUAUUUUCUACAGCUGUGUUCAUGGGACAACAGAAUCAAGUAGCAGCUGUGGCAGAAACUAUAUGACUCGUAAAGCCUAAAAAAGCCUAAAAAAUGUUCACUGUCUCUAUAGAAAAGUUUGCCAAUCCCUGAAUGAGGAAGAGAGAAGUAAAGGAAAGAAAAAAGGAAAAAAAGAAGAUAAUUCAAGGAAAAACAGAAGCAAAGAAAAUGAACAAGUAAAUGAACCAGCAAACAGAAUGAAAGCUGAAUGAAGUUACAUCCAUUUUCCCCUAGAACUGAAACUGUGAAGACUUUUAUAGUCUGUACACUAAGCAGUAUGAAGACCCAGUAUCAAAUUAAAAUAAGUGGACAGUCCCAGACUUCAGUGACAAAGCGCCUUGAUUGCAGCAGUGAUUCCCCAGUCUGCUUUCGCUUUGGGUUUCCAUUGUGACCAUUAACUGCUGAAACUGAGCCCAGAGCCCAUGAUCACAAGAUCUGAACGUCGCUGCGAGGGAUCCUAAAGAGGAAGCAAGAGCCGAGAUGCCUAGUGAAGCAGGAAUCAUCCUGGAACUGUCAGGAUGGGAGUUGGAACACUAAGGAAGGUAGAGGAAAAAGGUGACAGAGCCUGGGGUGUUGACAGUACUGAGAGCUGCUGCACUGUCACCUGUCCAGAAAUGCUUGUUGGGUAAAAAGACUAAAGUUUAAUUUGGUUAACUCAACGUUGGGCUUUCUGUUGCUUAUACCUAAGCCCAGUUUCCAACUGGUGCAUGAGGUGUGCAUGAGACUUCUUUGGAUUCCAUCAUCACUGACCCCUUCAUGAUGCCAAUUAAACCUUACCUGAAUCCCCAUCUCAGAAAUAAGAUUUUCUUCCUUGUGUAUGGCCGUUAAAUUCUGAACUACUUUUAAGGCCUUUAUUAAUUCUCUUCUUCUUUGGAAUUUUGUAUUGUAAGUUCCUCAAGAACACAGUCUAUAACUUCCUUCCUUAUACAUAAAAAAACACUGAAUGGAUAUUUACUGGGUUGGAUUAAAAUCCAUAAAAUUCACCGUAUAGUUUUCUGUUACCGGAGUUCCUAUGAAUUAGUUUUAAUCUUCUUUAAAUUUGAUAUGGACAUAAAUGCAAUCCAAGGCACAAUGAUUUGACCUCCCAUUGCUUCUGUCAGGAACCAAAUCCCUCAGCUUUUCCUGAGUUUCUGAUUAUUGCCUCAGAGGUACAUAGAAACAAGGCCACUUCUGCCUGGUUCUUCUGCGAGGCCUCCUCAUUAUCCCUCUGAGCUGCCGCCUCUGAUGCUGCUGAUACUGCCACUCUGCCCAUUCCAGACUUGGGGGAGGCAAUGCUGCAUUCACUACCUUUUCAGUUCAGACCUAGACACAGAUCUUUUUCUAAGUACUCCUUGCACAACUGAGACCAGGAUAUGCCUUUUUAAAAAAAGCAGUGAAAGAGUAGGGAUGAUGCAAUGGAAGGAAAACACAUAGAAUCUUUACAACUAUUCUAGGUCCAGGGCCACCGACUUACAGCUUUAUCUUCUCAGCUGCCACAUGACCAGGCAGUUCACCCCCACCAACAGAAUUUCCACAUAGACUACCAGCCCUAAAUAUUUAUUUCCUCACACCAUCAUAAGGCCUCCUUCCCUUAGGCUUCAUUUCUUUAUUUCCUGUGAUUGAGAAUGACAAUUAAGGGACACCCAGGCUUCCCCCCUAGUAAACCUACGGCCCUGACUAGUCUAUCACUCCAAGUGAGUUAUUCUGAUAUUUACAGAAAUUUUGUUAUGUGAAUACAAAACCUGAUUAUAGUCCAAGUAUAGUGUAUAGAUUACAUUUGGGAUGUGGUACAUCAUAAUUAGUUUCCAAUUUGAAUGAAUGUGAAUGAAUUUUUUAAAUAAUACUUUAACAUUGUCAUUAUUAAUUUUGUCAAUUGCUGGUAACUGGGAUAGUGUCACUAACUUUCACAAUUAACAAUUUAACUUAAAAAAUUUUUUUUGAGUUUGUUUUGAGAGAGAGAGAGAGUACAAAUGGGGCAGGGGCGGAGAGAGAGGGAGAGAAUCUCAAGCAGGCUCCACACUGUCAGCACACAGCCCGACACGGGGCUUGAAUUCACGAACUGUGAGAUCAUGACCUGAGCUGAAACCAUGAGUCAGAUGCUUAAAACAACUGAGCCAUCCAGGCACCCCAACAACUUGAAAUUUUAAAUGUGGUGGUGAAGUCUCAAUUUCAAAUGGUUUGAAGAGCACGGAAGUGAGUAUACAUAAAAUUUUAAGAUGUUUUGUGGAGAAGGAAAUAAGUAGGACUGGGGUUGGAACUUGAGGGAGUGUUAGGGACCAAGUUUAUGCUAAAUAAAGAAAUAAGAAAGAAGAGGAGAGAAGAAAGGAAGAGAAGUGAAAUGAAAGGGAGAAAGGAGAAGAGGAGAAAGAGGAAGAAGAAGCAAGAGAUAGAGCUUUCCAGUGGAAAAUGUUAAUUACACUGUAAUGCUUUUUGAUGCUUUAUUAUCAACUUCAAACUGAGAUAGCCUUUGAUAACAUAUUCUGAUUUUAAACUACUCUAGUAGAAAGUUGUAAAACAUUAUUAUUUUAAAUCUUUUAAAAAAUGGAACACUCCAAAUUGUGCUCCAUGAGACGGAAGCUAAUGCAACAAGUAGUUGCAGAACUAUUUGGCCUUGGAAUUCAGUCAUUAGGAGAGAGCUGCCGACUCAACUCUGCCUGAGCAGCAAGAGUGAAGUGAGUUUGCUCCGCUCUUCUCUGACCUCCAGCACAGAAGGCAGGCUGUCUGUAGCCUUUGUGAAACUUAAGGAAGUUUUCCCUUUGAGGGCAAGACCCCCAUUUGCAAUUUGAUUCUUUCUGGAAUCCAAAGUAAUAGAGUAGCCACUAACAAGAAAGCAAGUAAUGAAAGAGAAAUUAAGGAGUGCAUUUUAAUGAUGAUUUUUAUAGAUGAAUUCCCAAUGAUUGUUGGUUGGCGUAUAGACUUUCUUGUCUGACUGAAUGAUUGAUGUGAUAAACACUUUACAUUCUUUCAAAUUCUAGAAUAUUUUAUAUUUUUGGACAUAAGUUCUUUGAACUUGAGUGAUUCUUGAACAUUUAAUUCACAUUUUUUGAGGUCUUUGGAAUAAUCUGGUUAUCAUGAAGAAUAUCAUUGAUUUGUAAGGUUAAAUUGAAGUCAUGUGAGCAACAUCUUGGUAGUCUUAUAUGCAAUGUACAAACAGUGUUCAUGGAUAAAAAGAAAAAGCUCAACAGAUGUGUCUUUGAAGGGAAACUAUUUAGGAAUUCAGAUGGAAUAUGAAGUUGGUAGCCUCAGUAUAUUUCAAAGGAAUACAUCCAUUUUGCCCUUGAAAGGAACUAUCUUCUCUCUUCCUCUGUGUUUUCUUGUUUGAUGCUAGCAGAAAGCGUCUGGAUUAUAAAGCCUGCUUGUUCCUCCCAGAAUAACUGCUACUGCCUCCUGCUAGUCUUUCAUUUAGUGGAAGAGGGGGGUCAAAUGAAUCUUGAUUAAUAGAUCCCCAUUCCUCUCCUUCUCACCUCUUUCAAGCUGUGCUGUCAUAAAAUUAAUGUUAGGCUGGUAUCUAUUCUAUCUUAAAUAGCUCAGAUCUAAUGAGAUGAAAUUUAGUGGGUUAAAAGCAAAUACUGUUUCCCCCGUCAGAUAUCCCAAAUACUACUAUAAAAUACACAGUAAAUAUAGGAGGCAUAUAUUAAUAGUUAUUAAUAGAAAUGUUUUUAUUUUUGACACUUUUGAUAUUUUUUUCUAAAAUAAACAGCCAUGUCUUUAUUUUUUUUUUAAGAUUUUAUUUUUUAAGUAAUCUCUACACCCAACGUGGGCUCAAACAUACAACCCUGAGAUCAAGAGUCUUAAGCUCUACUGACUGAGCCAGCCUGGUGCUCCAGCAGCCAUAUCUUUAUAACAAAACUUUAAACAUUAUUUAAACUGAUUUUGAAAGUUCAUGGUAGGUAAAGUAUCUCCCCCAAAUUCCCUCCUCUCUAUGUAAUUCUGUGAAUAGUGGCCUCUGAUCUUUGCCAGUGUGUUCUACUGAAUCAGUUCCAUGACUAUUCUAUCAUUCAGCAACUAGCCAGGAAAACAGAAGCCACUCUAAAUCCUUCAAAUACAGGGAAUUGAUCACCCAGGUGAUGGAAAACAGAGGCUAAACAAGGGUUUGUUAAGGCAACCCAGAGAAGUUCUAAUCACUCUCAGUUGGAAAGGACAACAUAUGAAUAUGUGGUUGCCUAAAACCAGAAGCUGGACUCAGGAUGAGUCCCCAUGAUGAGGGGGCCAGUGAUUUCUGGGGGCAAGGCCUGGGGUGUGCUACCAAGAGCUGGAGCCAUGGGGGAGCCAUGGGCACUGUCAAAAGAUUCCUUAAGACACAAGAAAAGAAAAAAUACCCUCACUUUCUUCCUGUAAGGAAAAUUGUUAGGAUAACAAAAUAUUGCUUAUGUCUUUCAAAGACUUCUUUGUUUUGAAUCUGAGGACAGGAAUCAGCCAUGAGCUAAACUGAAUUUUUGUUCAAUAGCAACAAUCUACGAGGUCAGAGUCAAUAAAUAGAAAGACUGGUUCAUAAUAUUUAUUGAUGGGGUAAACAAGGUUGUCUUUUUAUCCUUUCUUUUACAUUCUAAUGUAAAAUCCAAUGAUAUUAUGCAGAUUCUGAAAAACUUUUAUUUACAUCCUCCCUUUUGUCAAUCUGUAAUAUAGAGGAGAUAAAGUUAAAAAUAGCUGUAUUUAUUUAUAUUUUCUGUGUGCAAAACUCUGACAUGUAUUAAUGUUUUCAAUUCUCAAAAACAACCUCAUGGGGGUAAGUAGAAUGAUUAACCCAUUUUAUGGAAGAGGAAAUUGAAGGACAGAGAGAUUAGCUAAUAGGCACAUUCUUAUAUACAGAUGACACAGUUGUAUGUUAGGGUAUUAGAAGUGGCCUUUGUAAUCGGUUAUGCUAUGUGAUUAUUGCCACAAAAAAGGUCCUCAGAUAAACUCUUGUGAAGUGGAACACUUUUCUUGUAGACAUUGUGCACAUGCCAGCACCUUACAGCAAGCACCAUCUUCUUUUACUGAUACCUCUACAGUGGACUCCAGACUCAUCUCAUCCCUCCCAUUCUUAUCCUCUUCAGUCUGUAUUCUGCAGGGCAGCCAGAAUAACCUCUUAAAAACACAACUCUUCUUCUCAAGGCCUUCUAGUGGUUGUCCAUUGUUAGUUAAGCCCAACAUUACCCAAAAAUACUGUACCAUGUGUUUUAUUGGGCGGGCUUAUAUAUUACUCAGUACGUUUGAAGUGCUGUUGGUUUCCCGGUGUUACUGGGCAGUCAUUUACCUACCCAUCUGCACUUGAAAGGACAUUGUCUUUAUCUCUGUCAUACUCAGAGGCCAUGGGCAAGCUCUGUAAAUGAGUCAGAAAAAUCAUCCUGAAAUUAUCCUUACCUUCCGCCUAUGAGAAGAGCAUUGAUCCUUGGGCAGCAGAGUUCCAGAGAGUCUGGAGACUUGAAUGUGAGACUCAACUAAUCCCUAGAGACCCCUGAGGGCUUGUGAGUUGCCUGGAGCUUCUGGCAAAGUGACAACCAUUUUGUAAGGUCUCUCAAUGGUGCUAUUUGUUUUGGCCUUUCCUGGGUAAAUUUGGUGAGCAGCCAGGGCAACAAAGAGUAUUCCUCAGACUAGAGUUGGAAGAGGCAGCUAGGGUGAAUCUCUAAGUAGUAGAGGGAUGUAGGACAAAGGAAACUGGCUAAGGAAUAGGUGAGCUAAGAUUCUCAACGUACUUGCUUAUAUUUGAACAAACAGCCAAAGCUAAAAGAAUGCUACAAUGGGCCUUCACAUGCUGGGAGAAAAACUUGGUCUCCUGGGUGCGCUACAUUUCAUCCUUUGUGGCAACGAACCAUGCCAGGAUUUCAACCUCAGUGCUGCUCUUGACUAGCAAAGUAUCUUAGGUGUUUCAUAUUGUGUGAUUAAUGAAUAAGAGACGGUAUGAAAAGCUUGACACCAUCUUUGGCCUGUCUAGUUGCAUUCAUAUUUCUGAGAAAUAAGAAAGAAGAUUACAUGGUAUUUAAAUUAAAAAAAAUUUUUUUUAACAUUUACUCACUUUUGAGAGACAGAAAGAGACAGAACAUGAGUGGCGGAGGGCCAGAGAGAGGGAGACACAGAAUCCCAAGCAGGCUCCAGGCUCUGAGCUGUCAGCACAGAGCCCAACACAGGGCUCAAACCCAAGAACCACGGUAUCAUGACCUGAACCGAAGUUGGAUGCUUAAUGGACUGAACCAUCCAGGCGCCCCUACUUGGUAUUUAAAUAUAAAGAGUAUUGAACUGGAUGAUAAAUAAAGGGCUGACAAAAUAUCUUUGGCAAAAAUUUUACUCUUAUAGACUAGUUGCAGCUGUUCAGAAUUACUAGAAUAACUCAAUAAAAAGUUUUUGUUUUUGAUUUUCAUUGCUUCAUGAAGUUGGCAAAGAUGGGUUGUGCAUGAUGACUGCAACUAGAAUAAUGUUAUUACUAGUUGUCAUAUUUUAAUAUAAAUAAGUGGCCAUAAUUCUUUCCAAGACUUCACUGCUUAUGAUAUAUUAAGUCCUAUGGAUUCUAUAAAAUAACUUUGAAACCUCUUCUGUUGCUUCAGACUUUAUGCAGCCAAAAUAAUUACUGAAGACAUUUCAGUCUGCAGUUUUUUCAAUUCAGAGGUCAUUCACACUGACUUUUCUUGCCUUGACUUCAUGCAAGACAUCAUUAAUCAAGUGUACUGUUAAAAUGUUAACUCUCCCUUUAAAUACCUCAUUAAUGUACAUGUGUAUUUAACUAUAUAUUUUUAAAUCUGAAUCAAUGAAAACUACCUCUUGAGUGAAGAAAAAACUCACUUGUUUUAUUGCACCUUGCAUUGAAAGACAUCACAAUCUAGACCUUGAAAUAGUUUUCCCUCUUAAAUCAUUGCCUGGAAAAUAAGAUUGUCUCACUCUUUCCAUAAAGCUAAAGUUGUCGAGGUCAAAUUUUGUAAAUGAUACAAAAGAGUUUCCUCCAUGAAUAAUCACAAGCUCAUGUUAUUGGAAGGGUCUUCAAGAAAUGACACAGUUCAUCCUGAAGCCAGAUUUGCCCACUACAUACUGACAGUUAUUCUAUUAUUCAGAUGCCCUGAGACAGACUAUCCCUACUUUCUUGCUAUGGUAGCCUGUCUCAUAUUAAAUCAUCCGUUUUUUAUUGUUGUUUGUUCUACGAAGAUUUAUCUGAUGCCUAUUGUUUUAAGUGGUUUUUUUUAUUCAAGUUAGUUAACAUAAAAUGUUAAAUUAGUUUCAGGUACACAAUAUAGUAAUUCAACACUUCCAUAUGUCACCUGGUACUUCUCAUGACAAGUGCACACCUUAAUCCCCAUCACCUAUUUAACCCAUCCCACACACACCUCCCCUCUGGUAAUCAUCAGAUUGUUCUCCAUAAUUAAGAGUCUGUUUCUUGGUUUUUCUGUCUCUCUCACUCUUUUUUUUUUUUUUGCCUUUGCUUGUUUGUUUCCUUUUUUAAUUCCACAUAUGAGUGAAAUUGUAUGGUAUUUGUCUUACUUUAACUGACAUAUUUUGCUUAAAAUUAUACCCUGUAAGCUGUAUCCAUGUCAUUGCAAAUGACAAGAU